AAAAUCAAAUCUUGUAGCCGAGAAGGCUUAUUUGUGAACCAUCAUCAUCAUCAUCUUAUUCUUCUGUAUAUAUAUUCCCCUUUCUGUAUCAUGAUUCUGCUGCAUCUUUGAGAAAGACAGCAGGAGCCAUUUUAGCAGUGUGGCCGUAUUUGGAAGUCGAGUACUUCUUGAACACACCGCUAGUAUGCCUCCCACAAGUCCUACUCCACAUCUCACAUCGUGUAAGGGUGCAUUGGGCCGUGAAGACUGCAGCAGCCGCGAGCAGGGAUGGUGGGAAACGGAGCAUCUCAUAUUGAACGAGGGAGAGCUCGAGUAUGAACAAGGAUACCAGCUCCAACUAGGGAAAUGAAACAAACAAUUUCAUCAUCAUUUGUUGUAAGUGUUUUGUUUGCAAGAAAAUCUAGAUAUCUCUGCAAACCUUCUUGUCGGAUUGAGCAGCUUUCAGGAACCGCCUCAUGAACACGUAAGGUGUUGGAAGCGACAGAUUGAACUGUAAGGUGUUGAUCAUCAACUUCUCCUGCAGAAACAAACAAACCAAUUGAAAUUAACAAAGAUUUCUUUCUAUAGUCAUUCUCAUCAGUCACAUCGAGUUAGAAAUGUUCCGUAGGUUACCAUGUCAAGCACUUCCUUUCUCGAGUAAGCCUUGUCCGAGAUCAAGACAAGGUCUUCCACAACGGGAACAGACACUUCCUCGUACUUGCAGGCUAGGAGCAUGGCAGUGACUCCGACAAGCUGCAAUCUCUUCCUCUCAACACGCUGGACUGCCAAGAAUCUGUCGAUGAGAUUGACAGUUAGGUACAACGUCUCAUCCAUCAGCUCGAACUUGUAAUGCACCUGUGCAACAACACAUACAAUGUCAGAAGCUGCUCGAUUUUCAGCUCACAAUGAGGACAUUCUGGUGCGGUUACCUCAAUCAGCCAGUCAAUGAGAAUGCCCCUCAUUCUAUCGUUGAUAUCAAGCUGCCCAGCCAUGUAGUUUGAUGGCACACAGCUUGAGCUCUGCAGCAAGAUAUAUGAAGUUCAAACAAACUGAUAUGAACACGAAAAAAUCGACUCUCAAGGUGAAUUAGGCAGACCCUCUUUUGCACUUAAUCUAUUAUCAAACAAAAGUAAGGUAUUGCUUCACAAUGUAAGUAGUAAUUAAUUCAGCAUUCUCAUAAA